rnacentral:tmRNA from 1 species
GGGGAUGGUUUGGUUUUGAUGGAAGUAUCACGUAUCUUUGUAUUGCCCUUACUGGAUGGUCGUGUAUCUACAGUAUAAAUAAUCGACCGCACUUAUCGUGCUAAAAACAAUCUUAGACUAACAGCUGCUAGAGCUUACGCUUUCGCUGCCUAAUACGUCUACCCGACCAUUGUCGGGUUAACCAACCUUGGAUUCAGCGAUAUCUACUAGCUCCGAGGGUACGCGUAGGUACUACCCAUGACCUAGGGGAUGAAAUAUAGGUCGCUAAAAGAGCAGUAGUGUUGGUUAUGGCUACAAACUGCUGCCUCCGGGAAUGUGCUGACUUGUCAGUACUACAACCAUAGUCUAUGAGGGUAGACGUACAUUGAUAUGACUUUCAGACGCGGGUUCGACUCCCGCCAUCUCCAGAA